GCCAAUCCCCCGGGGGGGGGGCGGUCCAUCCGCAGGGGCUGGAAGAUCGGGUUGGUGCCCAUGGCCGGAGCGCUUAAAACCCUUAGAAACCCUCAUAAACCGUCAGCUCCAGACCUUCAAAUGUCAGCCCGAGAGACACCUAAUCUCCAACCUAAAAAAAAAAAAAAAAAACACACCCGUUGCCAUCGAGUCAAUUCUGACUCAUAGUGACGCUAUAGGACAGAGUAGAACUGCCCCACAGUUUCCAAGGAGCGCCUGGUGGAUUCAAACUGCCAACCUGGGUAACCACUACGCCACCAGGGUAACCCACUAAACCUACUGCCACCAGGGUAGAGGCUCCAAAUCCCGCCAGUGUGAGGAACCCUCAAAUCCCCUCAGCACCAGAGACCCCGUCCACAGUGACCGGUACACAGCGCCGCACAAACGUUUAAGUUAACAAACGACCUGGUUGCUCAGGACCCCUUCCUGCUACCCCCACCCCCGCCACCCAGAGGGGGAGCGGGACCCGGCAUCCACACUGUUAACAGACACUGAAUCGCUGCUGCUUCCACAAGGAGUAGGAUCCCCACGCUGCUCCACAGAUUCCCAGGACCCCUUCCUUUCCUGGUGGGGCCGCGCCGACGCCCCAGCCCCAAGAGUAGACCGGCCAGGCGCGGGCGCGGGGUGCCUCAGCCUCCCAGGCACAGCGCCCAAAACAAUAAGGGGCAGCAUGGCCUUGGGCGGGGGAUCCCUCUCUCCCCUGUCCGUGGCACCCUACGGAGUCUGGUGGGGGUGGGAGGAGGAAUGGGGGCGAGUGCCCCGCCCUCAGUCUGGAAUCUCACCCUCCCGGACGAACUCUAGGCCUUGGUUUCCCCUCUGGCAGAGGGAGCAGGUGGGGGGCGGGGUGGGCAGGCCCCCAUCCCCCAGCUUGGCCCGCAAACCCGCCCCGGGCAGAGUAGGGACCUGGGCGCAGCCCUGGACACGGCCUUUCUCCCCAAGCCCUUCAAGCCCCCAGGCCCGAGGGCACUCCGCAGCUGGAUCCCGUGGCUGGACCCCCCUCCCCCGCUGCAAAGCCAUGGGGAUGCAAAUUUCCCGGACCAGCUGCGUCUCCCGGGCCAGAGGCUCCCUCUCGCAGCCCGUAGAGUGGCUGCAUCCGCCCGCCCCCACGCAGCGUCCGCCCCCGAGGAUCACUCGGGAUGGGGUAAGCUGGAGGGGGCGACGCGAGCUGCUAACCCAACGUCCGGACUCUCCAACCUCUGGAGCCCACGGGAUGCUGGGACUGGGACCCGCACUCCUGGUGCCUUCCCUCCACACCUUCGAGGGGCCAGGCUUGUUCAGUCUGGGAGCUGGUCCCUCCACCCAGCUGCCGGAGUUUCAUACCUUUCAGAGAACACGGCAGGGAAAGCAGCACGAACAGCAUCCUCUCUAAGGCGCGCCAUCCGGCCCGGACCCCUCACCACCCGUCCCAGCGCUUCCGGGAGUAACUGGCUAGAUGGCGUGGAACAUGGCUGCUGGCCCGGCCCAGCGGCCCGGGUGUGGGGCGGGCGUGGGGGGGGUUGGGCCUCCAGAGGGAAGGGUGGGGUCUAGAAGCAAGGAGAAUGCCAAGGUGUGCGGGGUGAGGAGACGGGAGACGUCAGGAGAGGGCCCUCUCGCGUGCAGAGUUAAGUAUUGGAGGUGCAACGGUUAAGUGCUUGGCUAACUGAAAGGUGGGCCGUUGGAACCCACCAGCUCAAGGGUUGAAAAGAUCUGGAGAUGGGCUCCCGUAAAGAUUCUAACCAAACAAAAUCCAAACCAGUUGCUGUUGAAUCAAUUCCGACUCAUAGUGACCCUAUAGGGCAGAGCAGAACUGCCCCAUAGGGUUUCUAAGACUAUAAGUCUUUACAGAAGCAGACUGCCAUGUCUUUCUGCAAAGAACCAACUGGUAGAUUCGAACUGUCCACCCUUUGGUUAGUGGCCAAGCUCUUAACCACGGGGCCACCAGGGCUGUGCCAUAAAGACUGCAACCUAGGAAACCUUGUGAGGCAGUUCUAAGUUGUCAUACAGGGUUGAUAUGAGUCAGAAUCUCUUGAUGGCACACAACCAUGAUUGUACUAAGAAAAAUUCCUCCAAGCAGCUGUCUACAUGACCCCUGAAGCACACAUGCAUGCACGCUAUCAAAGCAGUGCGGCCAAAGACAGGAAAUUGGAAAAGAGACAUUAUAGAGUGGGCAGUGAAAAGGGAUUUCUGAGGGACAUGCAGCUCAAGCAGAGGAGGUAGCAUACAACUAAAUGCCCUUCUCCUUCUAUUGUUCAAUGGUCUUGAGAAAGAAUGUGUCCCAGGAAUUAACUGUAGCCCAGGAGAACUUGAAGACAGCAAAUACAGAGGACCAGUCAGGAUGCUUCUGCAGUGGUCAGGGUGAGGAGUGAUGGUGGUAGUGCAGGUGGGAACAGUGGGCAGGCUUGAGGUGUACUUUGGAGCUUGAGCUGCCAAGAAUUGCUGGUGGAUCAGAUGUAUGGGAUGAGGGGAACGGAGAAUCAAAGGUGACUUCUAGAAUUCAGGCUACCAUGAGCGCAUGGUCACCAGAGCUAUUCUCUACCAUGUGGAAAACCAUGGAGGAACAAACUUGAGAAAAUGACCAAACGAUUUUUUCUGGACAUGUUAGAUUUGGAUGUCUGAGGUCAUCCAAGUGUGAAGAACAGUUCCCAGCUGUGGAUACCACUCAGAGGUAGAGUAGUUUUCUGGGUUCUAAGAAUUUGGAGAUCAUCAGCCUAUAGCUGAUUUGAAAGCCACUGGUGGUGCGAUGAUUAUGCAUUUGGGUGCUACCAAAAGGUCUGCAGUUUGAAUCUACCAGUCACUCCUUGGAAACCCUGUGGGGAAGCUCUACUCUGUCCUAUAGGGUCCCUAUGAGUCAGAAUCCACUCGACAGCGACUUUUUUGUUUUGUUUUAAUACUAAGCUCAGAAAAGUUGUGUGUCAGGGUUGUAUUUUUUCACAAUACUUAUUCAAGCAGUUCGAAUCUACCAGCCACUCCUUGGAAACCCUAUGGGUCAAUUCUACUCUGUCCUUUAGGGUUGCUAUGAGAUAGAAUCGACUCAACAGCAAUGAACUUAGUCUUAGAGGAGCCCUUUGUCUGUCAAAGCUGAGAGUUUUACUUCAUACUUUUUAAAACUGCCAUGUCUCAUGUUACGUGGCUACCCUUACAGGAGCAUUUUUGGUGCUAACUUGACUUGUUCUUGGUGAAGGGCUCUGUAUUCAUUUUCUAGGGCUGCCAUAGUAAAUUACCAAAAACUCAGUGUCUUUAAAAAAACAUAUAAUCCAAACAGUCCAAAAAGCUGGAUUAUAUGAAGAAGAAGGGGCCUCAGGAUUGGAGGAAGACUCAUUAACAGCCUAGACAUGCAGAUGACACAACCUUGCUUACUGAAAGUGAAGACGACUUGAAGCACUUACUGAUGAGGAUCAAAGACUUCAGCCUUCAGUAUGGAUUACACUUCAACAUAAAGAAAACAAAAAUCCUCACAACUGGAACAAUAAAAAAAUCACAGUAAACAGACAAAAUACUGAAGUCAUCAAGGAUUUCAUUUUACUUGGAUCCACAAUCAACACCCAUGGAAGCAGCCGUCAAGAAAUCAAACGACAUAUUUUAUUGGGCAAAUCUGCUACAAAAGACCUCUUUAAAGUGUUAAAAAUCGAAGAUGUCACUUUGAGGACUAAGGUGUGCCUGAACCAAGCCAUGAUAUUUUCAAUCGCCUCAUGUGCAGCUAAAGCUGGACAAUGAAUAAGGAAGGCAAAAGAACAGAAACUUGAAUUAUGUUGUUGGUGAAGAAUAAUGAAUAUACCAUGGACUGCUAGAAGAAUGAACACACCUGUCUUGGAAGAAGUACAGCCAGAAUGCUCCUUAGAAAGGUGGGUGGCAAGACUUGGUCUCACGUCCUCUGGACAUAUUAUCAGGAGUAAUCAGUCCCUGGAAAAAGACAUUGUGCUUGGUAAAGUAGACGGUCAGUGAAAAAGACAAAGAUCCUCAAUGAGACAGAUUGAGACGGUGGCUGCAACAGUGGGCUCAAACAUCGCAAUGAGAAAGGCCCAGGGCUGGGCACUGUUCCGUUCUGUUGUACACAGGGUCGCUAUGAGUUGGAACUGACCCAACAGCACCUAACAACAACAUCAUAAACUCACUAGAUCUCCUGGGGAUAGAAUGUCAUAUUCAGUGUAGAAUAGAUAGAGUUUCUUUGUUUGUUUGUUUACCAUAUUUACUAUCACUUACAUUUGAUAACUUCCACAUUCUGUUGGAUCGCUUUUCUUUGGAAUGGAUACAAACGUGCAUCUCUUGCAGUCUGUUGGCCAGGUAGCUAGCUUCCAAAUUUCUUUGCAUAGUGGAGUGGGCAUGAACAGUGCUGCAUCUGUUCGUUGAACCAACUCAGUGGGUAUUCUGUCAGCUCCUGGAGCCUUGUUUUUCACCAGUGCCUUCAGUGUAGCUUGGACUUCUUGCUUCACUACUACCAGUUCUUGAUCAUAUGCCACCUCAUGAAAUGACUGAAAGUUGACCAUUUCUUUUGGUACUGUGACUCUGUGUAUUCUUUCCAUCUUUUGUGUGUGUGCUUUAAGUGAAACUUUACAAAUCAAGUCAGUCUCUCAUACAAAAAUUAGUAUACAGCUUGCUAUGUACUCCUAGUUCCUCUCCCACUAAUGAGACAGCACACUCCUUCUCUCAGCCCUGUAUUCCCCAUGUCCAUUCAGCCACUUUCUGUCCCCCUCUGCCUUCUCAUCUCCCCUCCAAACGGGAGCUGCCCACAUAGUCUCAUGUGUCCACUUGAGACCAGAAGGUCACUCCUCACCACUAUCAUUUUCCAUGCUAUAAUCCAGUCCAAUCCCUGUCUGAAGAGUUGGCUUUGGGAAUAGUUCCAGUCUUGGGCCAACAGAAGGUCUGGGGAUCGUGACCUCUAGGGUUCCUCUAGUCUCAGUCAGAUCAUUAAGUCUGAUUUUUUUAUGGGACUUUGAGGUCUGCAUCUCACUGCUCUCGUGCUCCGUCAGGGAUACUCUGUUUCGUUCCCUGUCGUAGCAGUCUUCAGUUGUAGACGGGCACCAUCUAGUUCUUCUGGUCUCAGGCUGAUGUAGUCUUGGAUUUACGUGGCCAUUUCUGUCUUUUGGACUCAUAAUUACCUUGUAUCUUUGGUGUUCUUCAUUCUCCUUUGCUCCAGGUGGGUUGAGACCAAUUGAUGCAUCUUAGAUGGCCGCUUGAUAGUGUUUUUAAGACUGCAGACGCCACUCACCAAAGUGGGAUGCAGAAUGUUUUCUUAAUAGAUUUUAUUAUGCCAAUUGACCUAGAUGUCCCCUGAAAACAUGGUCCCCCUACUGCUGCCCCUGCUACUCUGACCUUUGGAGCUUUUGGUUUAUUCAGGAAACUGCUUUUGGUUUAGUCCAGUUAUGCUGACCUCUCCUUUAUUGUAUGAUGUCUUUCCCUUCACCUAAAAUAGUUCUUGUCUACUAUCUCAUUUGCGAAUAUCCUUCUCCCUCCCUUUCUCCCCACCCUCAUAACCAUCAAAGAAUAUUUUCUUCUCUGUUUAAACUAUUUCUUGAGUUCUUAUAAUAGUGGUCUCAUGCAAUAUUCGUCCUUUUGCAACUGACUAAUUUCACUCAGCAUAAUGCCCUCCAGAUUCCUCCAAGCUAUGAAAUAUUUCACGGAUUCAUCAUUGUUCUUGAUCUAUGUGAAGUAUUCUAUCGUGUGAAUGUACCACAAUUUAUUUAUCCAUUCAUCUGUUGGUGGGCACCUUGGUUACUUCCAUCUUUCUCCUAUUGUAAACAGUGCUGCAAUGAACAUGGUUGUGCAUAUAUCUGUUCAUAUAAAGGCUCUUAUUUCUCUAAGAUAUAUUCCAAGGAGUGGGAUUGCCAUAUGCUAUGGUAGUUCUAUUUCUAGCUUUUUAAGGAAGUGCCAGAUUGAUUUCCAAAGUGGCUGCACCAUUUUAAACUCCCACCAGCAGUGAAUAAGUGUUCCAGUCUCUCUACAACCUCUCGAACAUUUAUUAUUUUGUGAUUUGGGAUUAAUGGCAGCCUUGUUGGAGUGAGAUGGUAUCUCAUUGUAGUUUUGAUUUACAUUUCUCUAACGGCUAAUGAUUAUGAGCAUUUCCUCAUGUAUCUGUUACCUGCCUGAAUGUCUUCUUCGUUGAAGUGCCUAUUCCUAUCCUUUGCCCAUUUUUAAAAUGGAUUAUUUGUCUUUUUGUUAUUGAGUUUUUGCAAUAUCAUGUAGAUUUUAGAGAUCAGAUGCUGAUCGGAAAUGUUAUAGCUCAAAACUGUUUCCCAGGCUGUAGGCAAUCAGUUUACUCUCCUGGUGAAGACUUUGGAUGAGCAUAAGUGUUUCAUUUUUAGGAGUUACCUAAUUUCUCUUUGGGUACUUGUACAUUGUUAGUAAUGUUUUUUGUUACAAUCCCACCCUAAUCCUCUUUAACAUAAAAUUACAAUCACAAAAUGGAGGACAACUACAGAACACUGGGAAUCAUGGCCUAACCAACUUGGUACACACAUUUUUCGGGGGGGACAUAAUACAAUCCAUGACAUCCACCUUUUAGUAUAUUUUGGGGACUGGCUCUUUUAGUCAGAAACAGGUUGAAUAAAAGUGCUUACUUACCAGCAGUUUCCCGACAGUGUUGGUGACGGAUCCCCAGUUGGAUACACACAAUCACACUGACUGCAUUUGCGGUGCCUCAGCAAGUCCCACUUGCCUUCGUAACACUGAUCUCUAGAACAAAACACAGCUCUGUAAGCAAGUCAGUUAAAAAUAAAGGCAUUGGAUAUUGAACAUCACUAAAGACAUAAGUGCAUAUUGGUUCUGUGUUGGUUGCCAGAAUCUAAUUCUCUUAAUUAAUUCAUAUUUUUUGUAGAUAUUUUUCUUGCUCCAUAUACCCAGAGUUCUGUGUACAUAUAAUGAACAUUCUACACGUAGGUUUCUCACAAAUAUUACCCAAUGUCAUUCAUUUUUUUGACCAUUCACUCAAUGUUCAAGAAUAAAUUGAAGUAUAGGAAAUAUUCUUAUGGUUAUUUAACUCUAAGGAUGAAGAAAUUGCAUAGCGGGUCUUGGCUCCCUUUAGAAAUUCUCUACCUGAUGCAGUUCCACACAGCAACACGGACCUUCAUCUCAGCACAGGAAGAAAGACAGCUUUGUCUCAAUAUCUGCCACUGCUCUUCACCUUCUACUAAGGAAACUCAGGAAUCAAAUAUUUUAUACUGUCCAGCAAUGCUUACACUGUAAGUAUAAAGUGGGAGCCAUUAUAACGUUAAGGGAAAUAUCAUUGAUACAAUGUUGGCUUUUUAAUUAGGCAGAUUUGUCUUUGUAAUCCCACUCUGCCCUUAAUUGGCUGAUGACUUUAAGUAUGCUUCUUUACUUUCCGUAGCCUUGAUUUACUCACCCACAGAAUGGGACGAUGACCUUCAUCUGGAAAGAAUAUACAUAUAUACAUAUAUACAGACGUAUGAAGCUUACUUCUGACAAUACUAACAAAUAUUGCUAUUUUUUUUUUUUUGCCUUCUUUACUCCAAGCUUCUAGACGGUUUACUCAGUUACAUUUCCUUCCUUCCUUUCUUCUUUCUUUCUAUGCUGCCUCUUUUUUUUUCCCUUUCAGUUUUAUUGUGAAUUCAUAAACGCUAGGUUGAAUUUCAGUGUUUAUAUGCUAUUGGGGGUAUGCAUAUAAGUAAGCAAAUUUAGCUUCCUGAAAUUGAAAUGUAGGUAAUUCCUGCACUGUCUGCCUCACAUGACAUGCGAAAGUUAUUUAAAAUAGUAAGAAAAUAUAAAUAUGUUACUUAUUAUCUAUUGAAUCCAUACAUCAGGCUAGAUAAUUUAACUGUCAUGUUGAAGUGAUAAAUUUAUAAAUAUAGAUAUUAAUAUUUUGUUAUUAAUGUAAGAAGAGUAAGUUAGACACCUAAUAUGAAGAGCAGGUAAGGAUUUCAAAAGGAUUGGUUCUCAGAAGAGUAGGACUAGAACAGUAAUAAACAAAAGGUAAAAUAUGUUCGUAGCAGGAACAUACAGAAGGUUGCUUCUACAAUGGUGUUUAAAAUAGAAUAAUGUAUAUUUGAUUAGACAAUCAUUUAUGGGAAUAAAAAGAUUAAGAAAAUUUAUCCUUACCUGCAAAAUCUUAGAACCGAAAAACCAAACCAAACCCAGUGCCGUCGAGUCGACUCCACUCCUACUCAUGGCGACCCUAUAGGACAGAGUAGAACUGCCCCAUAGAGUUUCCAAGGAGCGCCUGGAGGAUUCAAACUGCUGACCCUUUGGUUAGCAGCUGUAGCACUUAACCACUAUGCCACCAGGGUUUCCACAAAAUCUUAGAAGCAGCAACAUAUUCAUCAUAUUUCAUCCAGAACAUUCCUGAUGUCCUGCAGUCAUGCAUUUAAAGUCAUUUUUGCAGAAACAUUCAUUUUUAUAGCUACUUACCUUCCUGGUGAUUACAUCAUUGGCUCAUAAAGACGAGAAAAAGAACCAAAUGCAAUUUGGCUGUCUUGACUGGGUCCCAAAGAAGACUAUUAAGUUAAACAAAUGAAUAGAAACAUCUUAAAUAAGCAAUAUCUUCUAUGUGCAACUGCUUGUGUGUGGCACCAGGAAAAUAAACACUAAUCAAGGUAAUUUUAAUUCCCAGUGAAAUGAAACAUCAUAUGGAAACAUGGGGAUUUUACUCUCCCUUGAUAAUUAUAUCAUCUAGAAUCAUCUCAUGUGAGAUUUUUAUCAUAAAGGAAGGGUCCAUGGAAAGGAAAUGCCUGACUGGAGCCCGCUGUGGAUUAUUCUUAAUUGCCUCUCCACUCUCACAUUCCCAAAAGGAAGGAGGAUAUCAGGGCUUAAUAUGACUCAAGUACAGCAUGAAAAAAUGGAAUAUGUUUGCAAAUGUCAACACAACUAUUUGUAAAAUAAUUAGAUAUUUAUUAAAUCAUUUUGUGAGAAAUGAAGUGGCUCUGAUCAGACUUAAAUAAAUGGGUUGACUAAUUUUUUUUUUGUUGUUAAUAUUUGAAUGUACCAUGCAACUAGGUUGAUGGAAGUUGUAUAUAAAAGUUAUCCAAAUCACUCAGUAGGAUCAUUUCAAAGAAUCUGAAAAAAGUUAGGAAAAUAAAUUUGAAAUACUGUGGCACUAUGAGUCAACCAGAAUUACAGAGCGUUCAGUAAAUUGGAGUAAAAAAAGAACUGAAGGUAUCAUUUUCAAGUCGAUUGUUGUUAGGUGCCAUCAAGUCUGUUCUGACUCAUAGCCAAACUAUGUAUCACAGAACAAAACACUGCCUGGUCCUGUGCCAUUCUUACAAUCGUUACUAUGCUUGAGCCCAUUGUCGCACCCACUGUGUCAGUCUCUCUCUUUGAGGGUCUUCCUUUUUUUCCACUGAUCCUGUACUGUACCAAGCAUGAUGUCCUUCUCCAGGAACUGAUCUUUCCUGACAACAUGUCCAAAGUAUGUAAGACACAGUCUCGCCAUCCUUGCUUCUAAGGAGCAUUCUGGUUGUACUUCUUCCAAGACAGAUUUGUUCCUUCUCUUGGCAGUGCAUUCAAUAUU